rnacentral:rRNA from 1 species
GUAAUGCUUAGGAAUCUGCCUAUUAGUGGGGGACAACGUUCCGAAAGGAACGCUAAUACCGCAUACGCCCUACGGGGGAAAGCAGGGGAUCUUCGGACCUUGCGCUAAUAGAUGAGCCUAAGUCGGAUUGGCUAGUUGGUGGGGUAAAGGCCUACCAAGGCGACGAUCUGUAGCGGGUCUGAGAGGAUGAUCCGCCACACUGGGACUGAGACACGGCCCAGACUCCUACGGGAGGCAGCAGUGGGGAAUAUUGGACAAUGGGCGGAAGCCUGAUCCAGCCAUGCCGCGUGUGUGAAGAAGGCCUUUUGGUUGUAAAGCACUUUAAGCGAGGAGGAGGCUCCUUUAGUUAAUACCUAAAGUGAGUGGACGUUACUCGCAGAAUAAGCACCGGCUAACUCUGUGCCAGCAGCCGCGGUAAUACAGAGGGUGCGAGCGUUAAUCGGAUUUACUGGGCGUAAAGCGUGCGUAGGCGGCUUUUUAAGUCGGAUGUGAAAUCCCUGAGCUUAACUUAGGAAUUGCAUUCGAUACUGGAAAGCUAGAGUAUGGGAGAGGAUGGUAGAAUUCCAGGUGUAGCGGUGAAAUGCGUAGAGAUCUGGAGGAAUACCGAUGGCGAAGGCAGCCAUCUGGCCUAAUACUGACGCUGAGGUA